CAUGUUAUUUCUGUCUGAAAAUGAAGUUUAUAACAAAGAAAUAUGUUGAUAGAAUAUCUCCAUUAAUAGAAGCAAUUAGUAAACUGAUUCAUUUUUCAUUAGGGAAUGUUUAAAUUUGCUUUUUGACAAAAUAGUGAUUAAAGAAUAUUUAAUAACAAGUAUGAAUCAACAGUUAUUAGCUUCUUAUCACAUCUACAUUAAAUAACAAGGAAAUACAUGUAGAAAACUUUGCUUAUAAUUCUACCACUCCAUAUAAUUACUGUUUUUUAUCUUCCUGUGUUCUCUUCCAGGCCUAGGCCAUGUGUUUGUGAAGCUACCAGAUGGUGUUCCUUGCAGUUCUGUGGUAGAGGAAUUCUUGUGAAAAGCUUUCUAUAUGUGGUGGGGAAAGUAGAGGCUUUCUUUAAUGGAGAUGAAGAGCUGUACUUAUCCCCUAGGACAGGGAUGAAAACUGAAAUGCCUAAAGAGGACUCCAUCCCCCCCCAUGGUUGUAAGCAUAGUUGAUACAACACAGGAUCCUGCACAUAAGUCCAGCCUUAUCAUACCUUAGUAGAGUGACUUGUCGAAGCUACUUAACUUUCAUCAGCUUCAGUUUCUUCACUUGUAAGAUGGGAUGAGAACAACAUCUUCCCCAAAGAUCAAACACAAGGAUGAAGUGAGGUAAGGUAUUUUAAUUCAUUGACUUUGAGGGCUGGGUGCUAGGAGUUUACCAUUUUGACACUUCUCACUGGGGAAUUCAGAGGUACAUCAGAGUGUGAGAACUUACGGUCUAGGAUAUGUCUACUUUCUCAUCUAGGUCUCUGGAAUGUCAUAAGGGUUCUAUAACCAAGAAUAAAACUGCAGUGCUUAUUUACA
rnacentral:lncRNA from 1 species